AUGGAUACAUUACAACUCAGUGGAGCUGGAUUCUUCAAAUCACCAAAUGCAUUGAUGUUCACCUGAAAGAGAAUGCAGCUUACUUUCAGUUCUUUGAAGAGGCCCAAUCCACAGAGUGCUACUUGAAAAACUUGCAGGAUUCCAUCAGAAAGAAGUUCAUCUGUGAUAAGAGCAUGUCACUACAGUCUUUGCUGGAGCAGAUCAAAGAGCUGGAGAAUGAACGAGAGAGAAUUCUUGAAUACAAGAGGCAAGUGCAGAGUUUGGUGAAUAAAUCCAAGAAGAUUGUGCAGCUGAAGCCACGUAACCCAGACUACCGGAGUAACAAGCCCAUUAUCCUCAAAGCUCUUUGUGACUACAAACAGGAUCUGAAAACAGUGCGCAAAGGAGAUGAAUGUAUCCUGAAGGACAAUAACGAGCGCAGCAAGUGGCUGGUGACUGGCCCUGGAGGAGUGGAUAUGCUGGUGCCAUCUGUUAGUCUUAUCAUCCCAACCCCCGAAUCCAUUAGCAGUGGAUCUUGCUACCAAAAUUGAGCAGUACUAUGAAGCUAUUUUAGCUUUGUGGAACCAGCUGUAUAUCAACAUGAAGAGCCUGGUGUCCUGGCAUUACUGUAUGAUCGACAUUGAGAAGAUCAGAGCGAUGACUAUUGCUAAGCUGAAAACAAUGCGCAAGGAAGACUACCAGAAAAUAAUAACUGACCUGGAGAUCCAUUAUCAAGAAUUCCUCAGGAACAGCCAAGGCUCAGAGAUGUUUGGUGAUGAAGACAAACGAAAGAUUCAAAACUCAGUUCACUGAUGCUCAGAAGCACUACCAAACAUUGAUUAUACAACUGCCCAAUCAACCACGGCAGUCACAAACAGUGAUCCCAACUGAGACUGUCCUGUGGGUUCCUCAAGCACCAUUAUUGUUAAUGAGAGAAAUCGAGAACAUGAGAAGCAGGAGGCCUGGUUGCUGAUGGAGCUUCAGAAACUUCGGCGUCAGAUAGAAGCUUCUGAGGUUCAGAUGGUUCAAAGAGCUCCGCUUGGAGUGGAUCAAGGGGCUAUGCAUGACUUUACAGUCAGAAUAAAGGAUUUAGAGGGUGUACAGAAUGACUCUCAAAUAAUGGCUGAAACCCUCAACAAGCAUAAGGACUUGCUGCCUAAUUUCAGAGGCUGUGAAAAGUAUGUGUACUUGCAGUCAGAGAUAAACGCCCUAUUUCAAAAACUGGAAAAUAUUAAUGGUGUUUCUGCUGGCUACUUAGACAGCUUGAAUGCACUGAGAUGUCUGCUCCAGGUUAUUCUACAAACAGAAGAUGUGAUCAGAGUUUAUGAAGUCAGACUCUCUGAAGAGGAAACUGUUCCUUUGGAUCUUGAUAAAGUAGAGGCUUACCGGGCUUGUCUGAAGAAAAUGAAGGCAGACCUAAACAUGAAGAAGUCACUACUGACUGCCCUGGAAAAUGAGCUGCAGAGAACACUUCAGAUUCACUCACAAUCUUGCCAGUCAUACACCCUGUAUGACAUGGACAUUGGAAAGUUCUGUGACAAAGUUACCCAGCUAAUAGACCGCUGGCAGAGAGUUGACAAGCAGAUAGACAACAGAUCAUGGGAUUUAGAAAGACAGAUCAAACAGCUGAAAAACUUACCGAGAUCUCUACCAGGCGCUGUGCAAAUGGAUCUGUGAUGCCAAGCGCAGGCAGGAUGCUAUUGAGGGCAUGAAGCUUUGCGAUUGUAACGCUAUCAUGAGAUACCUACAUGAUCAGAAGAACUUGCACAGUGAAAUCUGUGGGAAGCGAGACAAAGUUGAGGAACUUCUCAAGCACGCAGACCAAUGUUCAGCUGCAAUUAAGGAUUAUGAACUACAGGUGGCUUCCUACAGUUCUGGAUUAGAAAACAUUGCUCAACAUUCCUAUCAAGAAGAGCGUUGUCCAGUCUCCUGCAGUGCUGAUUGUGCAAGAGGCUAAUGAGGCUCAGUCUCGCUACAUAGAGCUUCUUACAAGAUCAGGAGAUUAUUACAGAUUCUUAAGUGAAAUGUUAAAGAGUAUGGAGGACUUGAAGAUGAAAAACACCAAAAUCGAACUCCUGGAAGAAGAACUCAGGCUUGCCAGGGAUUCAAACUCAGAGACAAACAACAAACAUAAAUUCCUAGAGCAAAAUCUGCAAAAGUAUCAGAUGGAUAUUUCUCAGCUCAAGGCAAAGCUGAUGAGUUUGGAGGAGAUGAAAAGACAAGCUGAAAUGGAUGGAAAUUCUGCUAAGCAAAAUCUGGACAAAUGUUAUGCCCAAAUAAAGGAUCUAAAUGACAGAAUAACCAGGCUGACUUAUGAGAUUGAAGAUGAGAAAAGGAAAGGAAGUUGUUGGAGGAUAGAUAUGAGCAGCAGAAGAAUGACUAUGACCAGCUGCAGAAAACAAGGCAAAACGAGAAAGACAGCCUUGGUUGGCAAAAGUUAGAGUCUGAGAAGGUCAUCAAGGAGAAGGAGUACGAGAUAGAAAGAUUAAGGGUUCUUCUUCAGGACGAAGGCACACGGAAGAGGGAGUAUGAAAAUGAGCUGGCUAAGGUAAGAAACCAGUUUAGCGAGGAGAUGAGUAAUUUAAAGAACAAGUAUGAAACAGAAAUUAAUAUUAAGAAGACCACAAUCCAGCAGAUAGCUGCACAGAAAGAUGAUGAUGCAAAAGGCCUCAGAGCUCAGGUUGACAGACUGACAAGAGAAAACAGAGACCUUAAGGAUGAGAUUGUGAGGCUGAAUGAUGCCAUUCUGCAAACCACAGAUCAACGGAGGAGGGCAGAAGAAGAUGCUCUUCAGCAAAAGGCUUGCAGUUCUGAGGUGUCACAGCAAAAGCAUCAGUUAGAGCUGGAGCUGAAACAGAUCAUUCAGCUCCGUGGUGAAGACAACUCAAGAUACAAGCAGGCUCUUGAGGAGGCUGCCUCAACUAUUCAGGAUAAAACUAAGGAGCUGGAAAGGCUAAAGGUUCAGCUUCAGGAAGAGGCUAAAAGCCGAUGGGAACUUGAAAAUGAAUUGGCUAAGGUAAGGAACAGUUAUGAUGAGGAAAUUAUUAGUUUAAAGAACAAAUAUGAAACUGAAAUUAAUAUCACAAAGACCACAAUUCACCAGGUCACCAUGCAAAAGGAAGAGGACACAAAUAAUUAUAGAACACAGCUUGAUAAUGCCAUGAGAGAAAAUAGGAAUUUGUGUGAGGAAAUUAGGAGACUGAAGAAUACAAUAAGCCAGACAACAGAUAAUCUACGGGAAAAUAGAAGAGAAUGCUCAGCAGCAGAAGGCAGCUGGCUCAGAGCUUUCUCAGAAGAAAACAGCAGCUGGAGAUUGAGCUAAAACAAGUUAUUCAGAGGCACUCUGAUGAAAGCAUGCGGUACAACAAUCACUUGAUGAUGCUUCUAAGACCAUUAAGGAAAGAAACAAAGAGAUUGAAAGGCUGAGAAAGUUGUUGGAUGUAGAAACAAGUCAGAGAAAAGAAGUAGAGGAUGAGAACAGUCAGUUAAAAAGAGUGCAGUUUGACCUGCAGAAAGCAAACACAAGUGCUACUGAGACAAUUAACAAGCUAAGGAUCCAAGAGCAGGAACUGGCCAGACUGAAAAUUGACUAUGAAAGAGUUUCGCAAGAGAAAAAAGGCAGGGAUCAAGAAAGUGCAAAGUUCCAGAGCACUGUGAAAGACUUGCAGAUCCAAAAACAUAAGCUGGAGGAGGAACUUUGCAGGCAGAAUAAAACCUAAUGGAGGAGACAUCCAGGAGGAAGAAACUGGAGGAGGAAAUAGAAGGCAUGAGGAGAUCUCUCAGAGAGCAAUCGGUUAAAUAACUAAUCUCACACAGCAGAUAGAGGAAGUGUCUAUUGUAAAGAAGAGGAAUGAAGAUGACCUUAGACACCAAAGAGAAGUGUUAGACGGUCAUGUGAGAGAGAAACAGAGAUACAUGGAGGAGAUAAGAAAGUACACAUCUGAUAUUGAGACAAUGCGGCGUCAGUUGGUCCAAGAACAGGAGCAAUUAAAACAGGCUCACCUACGAUAUGAGCACUUGCAGAAAACCUCUGAGGAAAAAAGCAAAAACUUGAAUGAGUGCAAAAUAGAAAUCGAAAGGCUUCAGUCUCUCACUGAGAACCUAACCAAGGAACACUUGUUACUGGAGGAAGAGCUGCGAAAUGUUAGAUUGGAAUACGAUGAUCUCAGAAUGGUCAGAAGUGAAGUUGAUGAGAAAAAUACUGCCAUUGCUGAACUAAAGAAUCAGCUUCAGAUGAGCAGCAAGCAAACCCUGGAGCUUCAGGGGUUGAUUAAUGAUUUACAGAAAGAAAGGGAAAAAUUGAGACAGGAAAUUGAAAAAAUUCCAAAAGCAAGCUCUAGAGGCAUCGAAUAGGAUCCAAGAAUCCAAAAAUCAGUAUAGUCACAUUAUGCAAGAAAGAGACACCUUGCUGAUAAAAAUGAGUGCUUUGGAGCAAGACAAAGCGAGGCUGCAGAGAUUAGAAGAGGAGCUGAACCGUUUGAAAGUUACCUUGGAAUCAGAGUCUCGUUUGAAGCAACGUCUGGAAAGCGAGAAGCAGCAAAAUACUGAAUGAUCUCAAUCAGUGGAAGAGCCAACACUCCCGGACAGAGGAAUCCAUAAGGAAGAUCCAGUGUGAGAGAGAGAAGAGUGAGAGAGAGAAGAACACACUGAGGACUGAGAUUGAAAGGCUUCAGAUGGAGAUCAAGCGGAUUGAGGAGAGAUACCGGUGCAGACUAGAAGGAGACUGCUGUUAAAAACCAGUCAGAGUUGGAGUCUGAGCGUCUCAGAAUGCAGAGAGAGAUUGAGAAACUCAAGCAACGCCCAUAUGGGUCCCACAGAUCUACACAGACUGAGGAAGACUUCUGUAUUGAUGCUUCCAAGUUGCUGUUCUGUGGGUUGCGGAAGAAGAUUACAAGCAAUGCAGCUGUAUGAGUGUCAGCUGAUAGACAAACUCACACUGGAUAAACUCCUGAAGGGACAGAGGUCAGUGGAAGAAGUUGCGGCUGGACAUUGAACCCUACCUCAAAGGGGCAGGUGCUAUUGCAGGGGUGUCUCUUUCUCCCAGGCAGAAGUAUUCUUUUGUUGAGGCCAAGCGGAAUCAGUUGCUUACAGCAGAAAAUGCAGUCCUGCUCUUAGAAGCCCAGGCAGCAACAGGGGGUGUGAUAGACCCGCACCGAAAUGAGAUAUUAACUGUGGACAGUGCUAUUGCCAGAGAUCUGAUCGACUUUGAUGACAGAGAGCAAAAUCUAUACAGCAGAAAAAGCUAUUACAGGAUUUAAAGAUCCUUUCUCGGGCAAGACUGUGCCAGUGUCUGAAGCCAUCAAGAAAAACUUGGUUGAUAGAGAAACUGGUAUUCGUCUGCUUGAAGCCCAGCUGGCUGUAGGAGGGAUUGUUGAUCCUGUCAACAGUGUUUUCCUACCCAAAGAUAUAGCUUUAUCUCGUGGCUUGAUUGACAAAGACCUGUACAGGAUGCUAAACAACUGCCAAGGCACUACAAAGAACUUCAUUGAUCCCACCACCAAAAGGCAGUCACUUACAUGCAGCUGAAGGAAAAAUGUAGAAUUGAACCACACACUGGUCUGCUCCUUCUCCCAGUGCAGAAGAGGAGUAUGUCAUUCCAAGGGAUCAGGCAGCCUGUCUCAGCUGAUGCACUGCUCGAGGCUGGAAUUAUUAAGGAAUCAACAAGGAAUGACUUGGAAAGAGGUGCAAUCACAGUGGAAGAAGUGAGUGAGAGAAUUAUUGAUUUCCUUCAGGGCUCUAGCUGUAUUGCAGGUAUCUACAAUGAGGCUACUAAAGAGAAACUUGGCAUUUACCAGGCUAUGAAAAUAGGUUUGGUUAGACCAGGGACAGCCCUUGAACUCCUGGAAGCCCAGGCAGCCACAGGGUUCAUAGUGGAUCCUGUCAGCAAUGUGAGACUGCCUGUUGAGGAAGCUUACAAAAGAGGCCUUGUAGGAAUUGAAUUUAAAGAGAACCUUCUCUCUGCUGAAAGAGCUGUCACUGGGUACAAAGACCCAGAAACCGGAAACAUCAUUUCUCUGUUCAAGCAAUGAACAAAGAGCUCAUAGAGAGAGGCCAUGGUAUUCGUCUGCUGGAGGCCCAGAUUGCUACCGGAGGAAUCAUUGACCCCAAAGAGAGCUAUCGCUUGCCGGUAGAGACGGCCUACAAGCGUGGCUACUUCAAUGAAGAGCUCAACAGAUCCUUGAGUGAUCCAAGUGAUGACACCAAAGGGUUCUUUGACCCCAACACAGAGGAGAAACUUGACCUACUUGCAGCUGAAGGAAAGAUGCAUAAAGGAUGAAGCAACAGGGCUCUGCCUUCUGCCCCUGAGAGAGAAGAAGAAAGUGUGCACACCUCGCAGAAGAACACCCUUAGGAAGCGCCGGGUUGUCAUUGUAGAUCCAGAAACAAACAGGGAAAUGUCUGUUCAGGAGGCAUACAGCAAAGGCCUCAUAGAUUAUGAUACCUAUACAGAACUAGCUGAACAGGAGUGUGAAUGGGAAGAAAUAACUAUUACAGGAUCAGAUGGUAGCAGUAGAGUAGUCCUCGUUGACCGAAAACAGGUAGCCAGUAUGACAUUCAAGAUGCUAUUGAUAAAGGUCUGGUUGAGAGGAAGUUUUUUGACCAGUACCGUUCUGGCAGCUUAAGUCUGACACAGUUUGCAGACAUGAUUUCCUGCCGUAAUGGCACUGAUGAGGUGUUCCGGCAUGAAUCAGUGACCCGGUCUCCCACAGUGCUGAGUGUCAGGAGUUCUUCGUCGCUGAUCAGGAGCUGGUUCUUUCUCAGACACCCCAGAAGAGUGCAGUCCUAUUGCAGCCAUAUUUGACACAGAAAACCUGGAGAAAAUCUCCAUUCAGAAGCUAUACAGCGGGGCAUCGUGGAUAGCAUCACUGGGCAACGGUUACUUGAAGCCAGGCUUGUACAGGGGGCAUAAUAUGUCCUACCACAGGCCAGAGGCUUUCACUUCAGGAAGCCACCAGUCAAGGCAUCAUUGAUCAGGAUAUGGCCACACGUCUCAAACCAGCUCAGAAAGCUUUCAUAGGGUUUGAAGGCAUAAAGGGUGGGCGCAAAAGGAUGUCAGCAGCUGAAGCAGUGAAGGAAAAUGGUUUGCCUUAUGAGGCUGGGCAGCGGUUCCUUGAAUUCCAGUACCUCACUGGAGGUCUUGUGGACCCAGAAGUGCGUGGAAGAAUAACUACGGAAGAAGCCAUUAGGAAUGGAUUGAUUGAUGGUCGUGCUUCCCAGAAAUUGCAAGACACGAACAGCUAUCCCAAAAUUCUGACCUGCCCAAGACCAAACUGAAAAUAUCCUACAAAGAUGCAAUGAAUCGAUCAAUGGUGGAAGACAUCACUGGGCUUAAACUCUUGGAAGCAGCCUCCGUUUCAUCUAAAGGCAUAUCCAGUCCCUACAAUGUCUCCUCAGCACCUGGUUCCCGCUCUGGCUCUCGCUCUGGCUCACGUUCAGGCUCACGCAGUGGGUCUAGGAGGGGAAGUUUUGAUGCAUCAGCAUGCUCUUCAUAUUCUUACUCAUAUUCAGCCUUCAGCAGUGGGUCUAUUGGGCGCUAAUAACAAGUGAGGGGAUGUGUCUGCAUUUGAAUAUUAUUUAGUUAUACUUUCCUAAAAAAAAAGGCAAAAACCAGCACC